GGCCAGCAGCCGCGGUAAUACGUAGGGUCCUAGCGUUGUCCGGAUUUACUGGGUGUAAAGGGUGCGCAGGCGGGCUUGUGCGUCAGAGGUUAAAUAUCUCGGCUUAACCGGGAAAAUGCCUUUGAUACGGCAAGUCUUGAACACGAGAGAGGAUAGUAGAAUUCCUGGUGUAGCGGUGAAAUGCGUAGAUAUCAGGAGGAAUACCAGUGGCGAAGGCGGCUAUCUGGCUCGUUGUUGACGCUCAGGCACGAAAGCGUGGGGAUCAAACAGGAUUAGAUACCCUGGUAGUCCACGCCCUAAACGAUGUAUGCUUGGUGUUAGUCGCUUGCGACUAGUGCCGGAGGAAACCCGUUAAGCAUACCACCUGGGGAGUACGAUCGCAAGUUUGAAACUCAAAGGAAUUGACGGGGGCCCGCACA
rnacentral:rRNA from 1 species